rnacentral:rRNA from 2 species
CAUUGGAACCACCUGAUCCCAUCCCGAACUCAGAAGUGAAACGAUGCAUCGCCGAUGGUAGUGUGGGGUUUCCCCAUGUGAGAGUAGGUCAUCGUCAAGA